GCCGGGGUGGCUGAGUGGAAAAGCGCCGGCCUUGAGAGCCGGUUCCCCUCUGGGGAUCAAGGGUUCGAAUCCCUUCCCCGGCG
rnacentral:tRNA from 1 species